CCAGUUGUAACAAAUUACAUACCAGGAACUUUUAUUUCUUUCAAGUACAAAAUAAAAAUAGUAUUUAUGGUCAUGAAUAAAAAACUCCAAUUGCGAUGACAAAAAAAAAAUUAUAGGAACAUUAUGUAUGAAAUGGUGUCUUUAAACCAAGACAUAACCUCAGAAAAAUGUAAUGAAGUUAUAGAAGCUGAUUUUCUAGCAAAAAGUAAUAGAGAAAAAAGUUUUCGUAUUAAUUUUUCUCUUAAAUGGGACUAAUUUCAGUCCCAGAGUUUUCAGUUUAACUCUUACAAUGUGGGUUAUGUGGCUUAGUGGUAUAAUCAUACCGGCUAAAGAGUGAGCUUCAGUUUGAAUCCUGAUGCAGACAAGAAUUAAAAAAAAAUAAUUUGACUCAAGCAGUGUAGUGCUACAAGUAAACCUCUCAGAUACUCCCUUCCCCCACAGGUCCACUAAAGAGAUUAGAGCAGACCAUACCGAGCAUGCUAUAGCACACAAGUCACGCUAGUCAAAAUCAAUUUUAAAAAAAUCACCAUAGGUAAACAAUUUUAUUGACAUAUGCUUUACCAUUUGAUUUUUAAAAAAAAAUUUAAACAUAAAAAUAUAGCUACAUUAAUUUUUUUCUCUCUC